CCAUGUCCAGUGUGUGGACAACUGUGAUGGUCGAGAUGGACAAGUGGUGUUUGACUCAUUUCACAAUUAUUUUCAUUCCAUCAGUCAACCAAAUAUUUCUAUUCAAUGCCUGGAGAAUCCAGAGGGUGAAGAUGGAAUAGUGGUGUUGGAGUCAGAAUCAUUUCCCAAUCAUUUCCAUUACACUGGUCAAACAAAUGCUUCUGUUUAAUGCCUGGAAAAGAGGGUAAAGAUGGAGUAUUGAUUAGCCAUGAAUCCUUUCCAAUGCUCUUGUCGA